UGGGGAAUAUUGCACAAUGGGCGAAAGCCUGAUGCAGCAACGCCGCGUGAGUGAUGAAGGCCUUCGGGUUGUAAAGCUCUGUCUUUUGGGACGAUAAUGACGGUACCAAAGGAGGAAGCCACGGCUAACUACGUGCCAGCAGCCGCGGUAAUACGUAGGUGGCAAGCGUUGCCCGGAUUUACUGGGCGUAAAGGAUGCGUAGGCGGAUUUUUAAGUGAGAUGUGAAAACCCUAAGCUUAACUUGGGGACUGCAUUUCAUACUGGAAAUCUAGAGUGCGGGAGAGGAGAAUGGAAUUCCUAGUGUAGCGGUGAAAUGCGUAGAGAUUAGGAAGAACACCAGUGGCGAAGGCGAUUCUCUGGACCGUAACUGACGCUGAGGCAUGAAAGCGUGGGUAGCAAACAGGAUUAGAUACCCUGGUAGUCCACGCCGUAAACGAUGAGUACUAGGUGUAGGAGGUAUCGACCCCUUCUGUGCCGCAGUUAACACAAUAAGUACUCCGCCUGGGAAGUACGAUCGCAAGAUUAAAACUCAAAUGAAUUGACGGGGUCAUAGU
rnacentral:rRNA from 1 species